rnacentral:rRNA from 1 species
UACGUAGGGGGCAAGCGUUGUCCGGAUUUAUUGGGCGUAAAGAGCGUGUAGGCGGCCAUACAGGUCCGUUGUGAAAACUGGAGGCUUAACCUCCAGACGUCGAUGGAAACCGUAUGGCUAGAGUCCGGAAGAGGAGAGUGGAAUUCCUGGUGUAGCGGUGAAAUGCGCAGAUAUCAGGAGGAACACCAAUUGCGAAGGCAGCUCGCUGGGACGUGACUGACGCUGAGACGCGAAAGCGUGGGGAGCAAACAGG